CCUACGGGGGGCAGCAGUGGGGAAUAUUGCGCAAUGGGCGAAAGCCUGACGCAGCGACGCCGCGUGAGGGAUGAAGGUCUUCGGAUCGUAAACCUCUGUCAGCAGGGAAGAACGGUCACUGGGCUAAUCAGCAGUGAAUUGACGGUACCGGCAAAGGAAGCACCGGCUAACUCCGUGCCAGCAGCCGCGGUAAGACGGAGGGUGCGAGCGUUAAUCGGAAUUACUGGGCGGAACGCGCUCGUAGGCGGUAUGUCCAGUCACGGGUGAAAUCCCCGCGCUCAACGUGGGAACUUCCUUUGAAACUGGCAAACUGGAGUGUGUGAGUGUAUAGUUGAAUUCCAGGUGUAGUCGUGACAUCCGUAGAUAUCUGGAGGAACAUCAGUGGCGAAGGCGACUCUCUGGCCCAUAACUGACGCUGAGGAGCGAAAGCGUGGGUAGCAAACAGGAUUAGAUACCCUUGUAGUC
rnacentral:rRNA from 1 species